AUUGUUCGCAAUGGGCGCAAGCCUGACGACGCAACGCCGCGUGGAGGAUGAAGAUUUUCGGAUCGUAAACUCCUGUCGAAUGGGACGAACAGAUUGCGGGUAACAGCCCGUGGUCCUGACGGUACCGUUAAAGGAAACCCCGGCUAACUCCGUGCCAGCAGCCGCGGUAAUACGGGGGGGGUAAGCGUUGUUCGGAAUUACUGGGCGUAAAGGGCUCGUAGGCGGCCAACUAAGUCGGACGUGAAAUCCCUCAGCUUAACUGGGGAACUGCGUCCGAUACUGGAUGGCUUGGAUUUGGGAGAGGGAUGCGGAAUUCCAGGUGUAGCGGUGAAAUGCGUAGAUAUCUGGAGGAACACCGGUGGCGAAGGCGGCAUCCUGGACCAACAUUGACGCUGAGGAGCGAAAGCUAGGGGAGCAAACGGGAUUAGAUACCCCGGUAGUCCUAGCCCUAAACGAUGAAUGCUUGGUGUGGCGGGUAUCGAUCCCUGCCGUGCCGAAGCUAACGCAUUAAGCAUUCCGCCUGGGGAGUACGGUCGCAAGGCUGAAACUCAAAGGAAUUGACGGGGGCCCGCACAAGCGGUGGAGCAUGUGGUUCAAUUCGACGCAACGCGAAGAACCUUACCCAGGCUUGAACUGCGAGUGACCACGCCCGAAAGGGCGCUUUCGCAAGAACACUCGUAGAGGUGCUGCAUGGCUGUC
rnacentral:rRNA from 1 species